AAUAUUGCACAAUGGAGGGAACCCUGAUGCAGCAACGCCGCGUGAGUGAAGAAGGAUUUCGGAUCGUAAAACUAUGUCAUUGGGGAAGAAUAAAUGACGGUACCCAAUGAGGAAGCCCCGGCUCACUACGAGCCAGCGGCCGCGGUAAUACGCAGGGGGCAAGCGUGUUGCGGAAGUAUUGGGCGUAAAGGGUGCGUAGGCGGACCUUUAAGUCAGGAGUGAAAGCCCACGGCUUAACCGUGGGACUGCAUUUGAAACUGGAGGGCUUGAGUGUCAGAGAGGGCAGUGGAAUUCCCAGUGUAGAGGUGGAAUGCGUAGAUAUUGAGAGGAACACCAGUGGCGAAGGCGACUGCCUGGACGGUAACUGACGCUGAGGCACGAAAGCGAGGGGAGCAAACA
rnacentral:rRNA from 1 species